CGGACGGGUGAGUAAUGUCUGGGAAACUGCCCGAUGGAGGGGGAUAACUACUGGAAACGGUAGCUAUUACCGCAUAACGUCGCAAGACCAAAGAGGGGGACCUUAGGGCCUCUUGCCAUCGGAUGUGCCCAGAUGGGAUUAGCUAGUAGGUGGGGUAACGGCUCACCUAGGCGACGAUCCCUAGCUGGUCUGAGAGGAUGACCAGCCACACUGGAACUGAGACACGGUCCAG
rnacentral:rRNA from 1 species